rnacentral:rRNA from 1 species
UACCAGCACCCCGAGUGGUCGGGGCGAUUAUUGGGCCUAAAGCAUCCGUAGCCGGUCAUGCAAGUCCUCCGUUAAAUCCACCUGCUUAACAGAUGGGCUGCGGAGGAUACUACAAGGCUAGGAGGCGGAAGAGGCAAGCGGUACUCAGUGGGUAGGGGUAAAAUCCUCUGAUCCAUUGAAGACCACCAGUGGCGAAGGCGGCUUGCCAAUACGCGCUCGACGGUGAGGGAUGAAAGCUGGGGGAGCAAACAGG